CCAUUUUCCUGCCCUCCCUGAGGCUGCAGGACUUUAGGAUUUAUUGUAGCCACUCUUAGAAGGACAGUUGCAGUUGUGUCUGUAGAGAGAGCCUAUAAAUAUCAGGGCAUUUGGUAACUGAGAGUAGAGACAACUGUCAUAAUCAUGGGUUCUGCAAAGACUUGAGUCUGCUGGAAGCAGUGUCUUGGGGUCGGCAACAGGCCCUUCAGGAGGAUGGCUGGGGAGGGGUUUGGGGACAAUCAAAAGGACUAUAUUUUGCAACUCGCUUAUUUUCCUGAAAUGAAAUUCAUAGGUUGCCUGUCCUGAGAAAACUCAAAGACAAUGGUGCCAAGGAAGAACAGAAUUUCAUAAAUGAAGAAUGACAGAUGGCACUAAGAGUUCAAGUAAGAAGAGUCUUGGAGAUUCUCAGCAAACAAUCUCAGUUAAGAAAGAGGAAAUGAAGUUAUUUAUGUGACUGAAUUUGCAUAGCAGAGACUACAGUUCCACCAAAUACUCGAUGAGAAAAUGAGUCUCGACUUGCAGAGCCAAGAUGACCAAAUAGGAACAGCUCCAGUCUACAGCUCCCAGCCUGAGCGACGCAGAAGAUGGGUGAUUUCUGCAUUUCCAUCUGAGGUACCGGGUUCAUCUCACUAGGAAGUGCCAGAGAGUGGGCGCAGACUGACAGGAGAGCUCCCGCUGUGUACACCCAGAGCUAAAUCUUCACACACUCCUAAUAUGGUUAGCCCAGCAGCCUAUCAGCCCUUGAACGCAGAAGGGAAGCAGUGCUGCCUUUACAGGCUUCCUAAGGUUAACCCUUUCAUGGAAGACAGGAUGGAAGACAGAUUGACCACUGGGAGCUGAAGAUUCUCUGGUUACAAAUAAUAAUGCAUAAAAUCGACAUGACCUGGAAACCAGGAUCCAGUCUGCUUUCCAAAUACAAAUACUUAUGGAUGACUCAGCCCGCCUGCACCCAGGUGAAAUAAACAGCCAUGUUGCUCACACAAAGCCUGUUUGGUGGUCUCUUCACACCGACGCGCAUGAAAUUUGGUGCCGUGACUCGGAUCGGGGACCUCCCUUGGGAGAUCAAUCCCCUGUACUCCUGUGUUCUUUGCUCCGUGAGAAAGAUCCACCUACGACCUCAGGUCCUCAGACCGACCAGCCCAAGGAACAUCUCACCAAUUUUAAAUCAGG
rnacentral:lncRNA from 1 species